UGCAUUGCUGAAGAUAUCAUGGACUUCA
rnacentral:piRNA from 1 species